CAGUGGGGAAUAUUGCACAAUGGGCGCAAGCCUGAUGCAGCGACGCCGCGUGAGGGAUGACGGCCUUCGGGUUGUAAACCUCUUUCAGUAGGGAAGAAGCCCUUCGGGGUGACGGUACUUGCAGAAGAAGCGCCGGCUAACUACGUGCCAGCAGCCGCGGUAAUACGUAGGGCGCAAGCGUUAUCCGGAAUUAUUGGGCGUAAAGAGCUCGUAGGCGGUUUGUCGCGUCUGCUGUGAAAGACCGGGGCUCAACUCCGGUUCUGCAGUGGGUACGGGCAGACUAGAGUGCAGUAGGGGAGACUGGAAUUCCUGGUGUAGCGGUGAAAUGCGCAGAUAUCAGGAGGAACACCGAUGGCGAAGGCAGGUCUCUGGGCUGUAACUGACGCUGAGGAGCGAAAGCAUGGGGAGCGAACAGGAUUAGA
rnacentral:rRNA from 1 species